rnacentral:rRNA from 1 species
AAUAUUGGACAAUGGGGGGAACCCUGAUCCAGCCAUGCCCCGUGUGUGAAGAAGGUCUUCGGAUUUUAAAGCACUUUAAGUUCGGAGGAAGAGUUGCAGGCUAAUCCCUCGCGACUUUGCCGUUACCAACAGAAUAAUCACCGGCUAACUUCUUUCCAGCAGCCGCGGUAAUACGAAGGGUGCAAGCGUUAAUCGGAAUUACUGGGCGUAAAGCGAGCGUAGGUGGUUCGUUAAGUUGGAAGUGAAAGCCCCGGGCUUAACCUGGGAAUUGCUUUCAAAACUGACGAGCUAGAGUACGGUAGAGGGUAGUGGAAUUUCCUGUGUAGCGGUGAAAUGCGUAGAUAUAGGAAGGAACAUCAGUGGCGAAGGCGACUACCUGGACUGAUACUGACACUGAGGUGCGAAAGCGUGGGGAGCAAACAGG